AGCAGAUCUGGAUGAGCACACGGUGUAAAUUGUUGCUGACUGAUCAAGCUGUCAUUACCACCCCAUCCUCACACCCCUAAUACCCUCUGUUUGACCAACAGACCCAGGAGAGCACGUCGGGAUUUUUACAGACUUUCCUGGGCGGUUUGUCAGUCAUUCCAGCCUUUCAAAGUGCGGAGAUACUGCCCUGGGUGGCCCAACAAGCCUAAAAGUGACAUCAACUAUUGUCGUGCAAUUUUGGUUUUGUGGUGCAAGUUACAUGUGGAUUUCAAAGCACUUGUGCAAGAAAAUUAAACUGAUCAAAACUGUGCAGUCAAUGACUUGCACAAAUUCACACCUCAGGUUUCUGCCUGCUCCUGGUCCAUGACUUCCCUUUCGGAUCCCACAAUAUUCCAGUCAUGUGGUUCCAGCCCCUUCCUUGUGAGAGGAGGUGAAGCACGAGCAGAGGCUGCCCAAAGAGGCAGCAGGAAUUCCUUCUUUGAAGAAUCUCAGAACUUAACAAGGCACUGAACAACUUGGAAAACUUUAACCUCAGUCCUGCUCAAAGAGGAGAGGAGACCAAAGGCUCCACAGGGCCUUUCCAAUCUGAACUACACUUAAGCCUGUCUUCCUUCACUGGGGCCAGCAGCAUUUCUGGAAAAUAUAAGAUGAGCACCAGUACAAAUGCCAGACUUGACUAUUUCUGGUAAAUAUGAGUCUAAUGAAAGCCCAUAAUGAGCAUCUGUCACCAUGGCAAGAAACACACAAGAUCCUUCAAAACAGAAGUGGCCAGUUCUGAUCUCACUUAGU